GCGGGAAUAGCUAAAUGGUUAAAGCGUUGCCUUGCCAAGGCAAAGAUUGAGGGUUCGAAUCCCUUUUCCCGCU
rnacentral:tRNA from 1 species